UGGGCUCGAACGUAAGAUGACUGUAGGUGAAAGCUUUACAUCUCUUCGGAGCAUUUUACGAGGUGCUGCAUGGUUGUCGUCAGCUCGUGCCGUGAGGUGUCGGGUUAAGUCCCAUAACGAGCGCAACCCCUACCUUUAGUUGCCAUCAGGUAAUGCUGGGGACUCUAAAGGAACUGCCUACGCAAGUAGUGAGGAAGCGGGGAUGACGUCAAAUCAGCACGGCCCUUACGUCCAGGGCUACACACGUGCUACAAUGGCCGAUACAGAGGGCAGCUACCUGGUGACAGGAUGCAAAUCUCCAAAGUCGGUCUCAGUUCGGAUCGGAGUCUGCAACCCGACUCCGUGAAGUUGGAUUCGCUAGUAAUCGCGCAUCAGCCAUGGCGCGGUGAAUACGUUCCCGGGCCUU
rnacentral:rRNA from 1 species